GUCUGUCUGGUGUGUGUGUGUGUCUGUCUAGGUGUGUGUGUGUGUGUGUGUGUCUGUCUAGGUGUGUGUGUGUGUGUGUGUGUGUGUGUGUGUGUGUCUGUCUAGGUGGGUGUGUGUGUGUGUGUGUGUCUGUCUAGGUGGGUGUGUGUGUGUCUGUCUGUCUAGGUGUGUGUGUGUGUCUGUCUGUCUAGGUGUGUGUGUGUGUGUGUGUGUGUCUAGGUGUGUGUGUGUCUGUCUGUCUGUCUGUCUAGGUGUGUGUGUCUGUCUAGGUGUGUGUGUCUGUCUGUCUGUCUGUCUGUCUGUGUGUGUGUGUGUGUGUGUGUGUGUGUGUGUGUGUGUGUGUGUGUGUGUGUGUGUGUGUGUGUGUGUGUGUGUGUCUGUCUAGGUGUGUGUGUGUGUCUGUCUAGGUGUGUGUGUCUGUCUAGGUGUGUGUGUGUGUCUGUCUAGGUGUGUGUGUCUGUCUAGGUGUGUGUGUGUGUGUGUGUCUAGGUGUGUGUGUGUGUGGUCUGUCUAGGUGUGUGUGGUCUGUCUAGGUGUGUGUGUGUGUGUGUGUGUGUCUGUCUAGGUGUGUGUGUCUGUCUGUCUGUCUAGGUGUGUGUGUGUGUCUGUCUGUCUGUCUGUCUGUCUAGGUGUGUGUGUGUGUGUGUCUGUCUGUCUGUCUGUCUGUCUAGGUGUGUGUGUGUGUCUGUAUACUGAUUUUCAGAUUGUCUAAGCAAGGUAGGUC
ensembl:lncRNA